GUCCUCGCUUAGGCAGCACAUAUAGUAAAAAGUUGGAAUGAUACAGAGAUUAGCAUGGCCCCUGCACAAGGAUGACACGCAAAUUCAUGAAGCUUUCAUAUUUUUU
rnacentral:snRNA from 1 species